GGCUCAGGAUGAACGCUGGCGGCGUGCUUAACACAUGCAAGUCGAACGAUGAACCUCACUUGUGGGGGGAUUAGUGGCGAACGGGUGAGUAACACGUGAGUAACCUGCCCUUGACUCUGGGAUAAGCCUGGGAAACCGGGUCUAAUACUGGAUACGACCUUCUGGCGCAUGCCAUGUUGGUGGAAAGCUUUUGUGGUUUUGGAUGGACUCGCGGCCUAUCAGCUUGUUGGUGGGGUAAUGGCCUACCAAGGCGACGACGGGUAGCCGGCCUGAGAGGGUGACCGGCCACACUGGGACUGAGACACGGCCCAGACUCCUACGGGAGGCAGCAGUGGGGAAUAUUGCACAAUGGGCGCAAGCCUGAUGCAGCGACGCCGCGUGAGGGAUGAAGGCCUUCGGGUUGUAAACCUCUUUCAGUAGGGAAG
rnacentral:rRNA from 1 species